CAAGAGCAUGUGGUGGAUGCCUUGGCGAUGAUAGGCGACGAAGGACGUGUAAGCCUGCGAAAAGCGUGGGGGAGCUGGCAAUAAAGCUAUGAUCCCGCGAUGUCCGAAUGGGGAAACCCACUGCAUUCUGUGCAGUAUCCUAAGUUGAAUACAUAGACUUAGAGAAGCGAACCCGGAGAACUGAACCAUCUAAGUACCCGGAGGAAAAGAAAUCAACCGAG
rnacentral:rRNA from 1 species